rnacentral:rRNA from 1 species
UACGUAGGGUGCGAGCGUUAAUCGGAAUUACUGGGCGUAAAGUGUGCGCAGGCGGCAGAGCAAGUCGAGUGUGAAAGCCCCCGGGCUUAACUUGGGAAUUGCGCUCGAAACUACUUUGCUGGAGUGUGGCAGAGGAAGGUGGAAUUCCACGUGUAGCGGUGAAAUGCGUAGAGAUGUGGAGGAACACCAAUGGCGAAGGCAGCCGAUUCUAGGGC